UACAGAGGGUGCAAGCGUUAAUCGGAAUUACUGGGCGUAAAGCGUGCGUAGUCGGUUAUCUAAGUCGGGUGUGAAAUCCCCCGGGCUCAACCUGGGAAUUGCAUUCGAUACUGGAUAGCUAGAGUUCGGCAGAGGGAAGCGGAAUUUCGGGUGUAGCGGUGAAAUGCGUAGAUAUCCGAAGGAACAUCAGUGGCGAAAGCGGCUUCCUGGAUCAGAACUGACGAUCAGGCACGAAAGCGUGGGGAGCAAACAGG
rnacentral:rRNA from 1 species